GUGGAUUAGAUACCCUGGUAGUCCACGCUGUAAACGAUGGGUACUAGGCGUCGGGGGGAGCGACCCCCUCGGUGCCGUCGCUAACGCAGUAAGUACCCCGCCUGGGGAGUACGGCCGCAAGGCUGAAACUCAAAGGAAUUGACGGGGGCCCGCACAAGCGGUGGAGCAUGUGGUUCAAUUCGAUGCAACGCGAAGAACCUUACCUGGGCUUGACAUGCUGGUGAAAGCCGGUGGAAACAUCGGCCCCUCUUCGGAGCGCCAGCACAGGUGCUGCAUGGUUGUCGUCAAUU
rnacentral:rRNA from 1 species